rnacentral:lncRNA from 1 species
CUAUUGCCCUAUCCACGAAAAACAUAAUAACAAAAUAAAAGGGAACAAAAAAAAUUAAACCCUCUUUCACUUUUUGAGAUUCGGGUUUUGCUUCGACGAAGGUCGAGCUCGGCUCAGCUCCCGGCCAGAGCUCCUUCAGAAUAUCACCAAUAUUUUCUAGAAAGGGCGAAAUAUGCCCCAUAAAUGGGGGUAAUUUCCAAAAAAGAAGACAGUGAACGAUUUGGAAAACUAAACAACCCAAAAAAGUGUUAAGCAAGGAAAAAGACCUCGCGGGAAGCCUUUUGGGCCAGGGCCUGGGCCAAUCCCCGUUUUUCCUCCGCGCCGCCAAUUGUUUGCGGUGAGUCCGUGUGAUUGAAAACGUUUCCGCGA